GACGAACGCUGGCUGCGUGCCUCAUACAUGCAAGUCGAACGAGUGGCGGACGGGUGAGUAACACGUGGGAACCUACCCCUCAGGGGGGGAUAAAACUUGGACACAGGUGCUACUACCGCAUACGGAUGGAUGGACCCGCGGGGCAUUAGCUUGUUGGGGGGGUAACGGCUCACCAAGGCGACGAUCCCUAGUUGGUCUGAGAGGAUGACCAGCAACACUGGAACUGAGACACGGUCCAGACUCCUACGGGAGGCAGCAGUGGGGAAUAUUGGACAAUGGGCGCAAGCCGGAUGCAGCCAUGCCGCGUGUGUGAAGAAGGCCUUCGGGUUGUAAAGUACUUUCAGCGGGGAGGCGUUACCCGCAGAAGAAGCACCGGCUAACUCCGUGCCAGCCGCCGCGGUAAUAC
rnacentral:rRNA from 1 species